UACAUGUGGGGCAAGCGUUGUUCGGAAUUACUGGGCAUAAAGGGUGCGUAGGCGGCAUGUUAAGUCACUGGUGAAAGUUUUCGGCCCAACCGGAAAAUUGCCUGUGAUACUGGCGUGCUGGAGUGCGUGAGGGGUGGGGGGAACGAGCAGUGUAGCGGUGAAAUGCGUAGAUAUUGCUCGGAAGGCCGGAGCCGAAGGGGCCCCACUGGUACGUAACUGACGCUGAGGCACGAAAGCGUGGGGAGCGAACAGG
rnacentral:rRNA from 1 species